CCUACGGGUGGCAGCAGUGGGGAAUAUUGCACAAUGGGGGCAACCCUGAUGCAGCGACGCCGCGUGAGUGAAGAAGUCAUUCGUUAUGUAAAGCUCUAUUAGCAGGGACGAAACUGGCGGUACCUGCGUAAGAAGCCCCGGCUAACUACGUGCCAGCAGCCGCGGCAAUACGUAGGGGGCAAGCGGUAUCCGGAUUUACUGGGUGUAAAGGGAGCGUAGUCGGCAGUGCAAGUCUGAAGUGAAAGGCGGGGGCUCAACCCCCGGACUGCUCUGGAAACUGUACGGCUGGAGUGCAGGAGAGGUAAGUGGAAUUCCUAGUGUAGCGGUGAAAUGCGUAGAUAUUAGGAGGAACACCAGUGGCGAAGGCGGUUUACUGGACUGUAACUGACGUUGAGGCUCGAAAGCGUGGGGAGCAAACAGGAUUAGAUACCCUGGUAGUC
rnacentral:rRNA from 1 species